AUGGUCUGGCUGGCGGCCCCAGCCUGCUCGUGGGCUUCCCCGUGUGUGACCUACACCCUCUGCUCUCCUGUGCAGGACACGGAGGUGCUGAACACAGCUGUCCUCACCGGGAAGGCCGUGUCGGUUCCUGUCAAGGUCGUGGGCAUUCAGGAGGACGGCUCCGUGGUGGACGUGUCAGAGGCUGUGGAGUGCAGGUCUGCGGACGAAGAUGUUGUGAAGAAGGUUGGUAGAAAUGGACAUGCUACUUUGAGAUUUUUAAACAAAGGGUCACCUGUCCACAGCAAAGUGAACCUGGAGGGAAGAGGCAGGAAUCAUGUUCCGUCACCCGAGCCUCCUGCCGUGUGUGAGACGGGCUGCUGUGCCACGCUGGUGGAAUUCAAGGCAGAGAGAUGUGAGAGACUUCUGGACUUCUCUAUUUUUUCACCUGGGCAGGGGAAGUGGUUAUUUAUUCUUGUUCAAUGUAGAAUCUUUAUCCUGGACACGGUAUCAGCAAAGUGUCACUAUGUCUUUUGCCUGGGAUGCUCAUUUGUUGACUCAGGAGAGUGUCUUCCAGGGAAUGAUGGAUGAGAAUCUCUAGAUAUCCCCUGACACAGAAUUGAGAUGGCUUUUCUUAAAAAAAAAAAAAUAGGUUAAAUCGGGGUGCCUGGUUGGCCCAGUCAUGAUCUCAGCAUACUGGGACUGAACCCCAUAUCUAGCUCCCUGCUCAGUGGGGAGUCUGCUUCUCCCUCUCCCCCUGCCUCUUCCCUGGCUUGUGCUCACUCUUUCUCAAAUAAAUAAAUAAAAUCUAAAAAAAAAAAAAAAAAA
rnacentral:lncRNA from 12 species